rnacentral:misc_RNA from 1 species
UAUUGCUCAAGGUCUUCUUCAAUUAUCUCAUUCUUCUUCCUCAGCCAUCAGUUCUUGGUUUGAGUGGAAUGAGAUUUGGUUUCUCCAGGUGACUUCUCGGUUAAGAUGUUUUUGUGGAGAUUCCUAUUGGAGAGCCUUCCUAUAUGUGUUGCGCUAGAGAGGAGGGGAGUAAUGGUUUCGGUUAUCCGCCCGAGAUGUGGAUUAUAAGUGGAAGACUAAUUGCGCUUGUUUGUUUGCUGUCAUUAGGUUCAUGGUUUUUGCCUUAUUUCUGCUCUUGGAUUGAGGAUUGGGGUUUUAAAUGUUUCAAAUUGCAGUUGAGUGGUUCUCCACUGUAAUUGCUGGUCCGGAUGUUGACGCAAUUCGGCCUUUUGUUAUCUUUCUGCAGUUACUUUAGGUUGAAGAAAUUGGCUGGUAUUUGGGAAGAGUAGUCGCAGCCCUGCGGAAAUUUGCCAGCAACCUAUGUUCUUGUUAACAGAAAAUGCCGCAGCUAGGGAAAGGGAGCAUGAUAGCCGGGUAUCUCAAACUUGCCGUUGGUCUGCUCCGCGUUUGGACUGUAUAAAACUCAAUACUGACGCCUCUAUUUCAAGUGGUUCUGGUUAUACUGCUUAUGGGGCUGUCUUUGGAGACUAAGGGGUAGACUUUUAUUGGCUGCUGGGUGUAGGGGUGUGCAAACGGUUGGUUCGGUUAUGAAUCGAACCGAAUCGAAAAAAUUGAAAAUCGAAAAUAAAAA